rnacentral:rRNA from 1 species
UUCAGAGGAAUCUGCCCUGUAAUUGAUAUUCCACGAUUUGAGUAACUUAUUUUAUUAGUUUACAUAUCGCCGUAGAUUGAAUAUCUUAAAAGAGAAAAAAUAUUCAAGAAUUUUGAUGAGAAAAUAAAUUAGGUCAAGGUGUAGCUUAUAAAUAAGAAGAGGUGGAUUACAAUAAAUUUAUUUAUUUACGGAUUAUUUUUUUAAAAUUUUUAUGAAGGUGGAUUUGAAAGUAAUUUUAAUUAAUUAAUUAAUAUGAUUUUAGCUCUAAAAUAUGUACAUAUCGCCCGUCGCUUUCACUAUAAAGUGAAAUAAGUCGUAACAAAGUAGGUGUACUGGAAAGUGUACCUAGAAUGACAAAUUAGAGCUUGAGAAAAAGCAUUUUAUUUACAUUAAAAAGUUUAUUGUGAAAAUCAAUAUAAUUUGAAUUUAUUUUAUUAUUAUUAUUAAAAAUUUUAAUUAUUUUUUAAAAAAUAAUUUUUUGUUUAAGUAAUUUUUUUGAAUAAAUUUAUUUAAUUAUAGAGAAUUAGUAUUGUAAAAGAAAUAAUUUAAAUCGGUAAAAUAAUAAUUUAUUUUUAAAAAACAUGUCCUUUUGAAAUUAAUUUAAGGUCAAACCUGCUCAAUGAGUAGUUAAAUAGCUGCGGUAUUUUGACCGUACAAAGGUAGCAUAAUCAUUUGUUUCUUAAUUAGAAGCUGGAAUGAAGGGUUUAAUGAAAAAAUAUCUGUCUCUAUUUAAUUUAAUUAGAAUUUUAUUUUUAAGUUAAAAAGCUUAAUUGUUAUUUGAAGACGAGAAGACCCUAUAGAGUUUUAUAAUAAAUUUGGUUUUAAAUUUUUUAAUUUUAUUAUUUAAAAUUAAUAUUAUUAUUUAAUUGGGGUGAUUAAAAAAUUGAUAAAACUUUUUUUUUAUAAUAACAUAAAUUAAUGAUUAUUUGAUCCUUAUUAAAGAUUAAAAAAUAAAAUUACCUUAGGGAUAACAGCGUAAUUUUUUUUUAGAGUUCAAAUUAAAAUUAAAGAUUGCGACCUCGAUGUUGGAUUAAAAUUUAUAUUUGGUGUAGUAGCUAAAUUAUUAGGUCUGUUCGACCUUUAAAAUUUUACUUGAUCUGAGUUCAAACCGGUGUAAGCCAGAUUGGUUUCUAUCUCAAAUAAAUUAAAAUAUUUUAGUACGAAAGGACCAAAUAUUUGAUUAAAAAUUUUUUUAUAGAUUAAUAUUGUUAUUUUGGCAGAAUAGUGCAAUAGAUUUAGAAUCUAUAAAUGUAAUUUUUACAAAUAAUACUUGUUAUUUAAGGAUUUAUUUUUAAUUUUGGUUUCUAUAAUUAUUUUAAUAUUAUGUGUAAUAAUUGGGGUAGCUUUUUUAACUUUAAUAGAGCGGAAAGUUUUAGGAUAUAUUCAAAUUC